rnacentral:rRNA from 1 species
UACGUAGGGCGCAAGCGUUAUCCGGAAUUAUUGGGCGUAAAGAGCUCGUAGGCGGUCUGUUGCGUCUGCUGUGAAAACCCGGGGCUUAACCCCUGGCUUGCAGUGGAUACGGACAGACUAGAGGUAGGUAGGGGAGAAUGGAAUUCCCGGUGUAGCGGUGAAAUGCGCAGAUAUCGGGAGGAACAUCAGUGGCGAAGGCGGCCCUCUGGUCCAGUACUGACACUCAAGUGCGAAAGCGUGGGGAGCAAACAGG